rnacentral:rRNA from 1 species
AGAGUUUGAUCAUGGCUCAGAUUGAACGCUGGCGGCAGGCUUCCACACAUGCAAGUCGAACGGUAACAGGAAGGAAGCUUGCUUUCUUUGCUGACGAGUGGCGGACGGGUGAGUAAUGCUUGGGAAUCUGGCUUAUGGAGGGGGAUAACUACGGGAAACUGUAGCUAAUACCGCGUAAUAUCUUCGGAUUAAAGGGUGGGACUUUCGGGCCACCUGCCAUAAGAUGAGCCCAAGUGGGAUUAGGUAGUUGGUGGGGUAAAGGCCUACCAAGCCGACGAUCUCUAGCUGGUCUGAGAGGAUGACCAGCCACACUGGAACUGAGACACGGUCCAGACUCCUACGGGAGGCAGCAGUGGGGAAUAUUGCACAAUGGGGGGAACCCUGAUGCAGCCAUGCCGCGUGAAUGAAGAAGGCCUUCGGGUUGUAAAGUUCUUUCGGUGAUGAGGAAGGUGUUUGUUUUAAUAGAACAAGCAAUUGACGUUAGUCACAGAAGAAGCACCGGCUAACUCCGUGCCAGCAGCCGCGGUAAUACGGAGGGUGCGAGCGUUAAUCGGAAUGACUGGGCGUAAAGGGCACGCAGGCGGUGACUUAAGUGAGAUGUGAAAGCCCCGAGCUUAACUUGGGAAUUGCAUUUCAUACUGGGUCGCUAGAGUAUUUUAGGGAGGGGUAGAAUUCCACGUGUAGCGGUGAAAUGCGUAGAGAUGUGGAGGAAUACCGAAGGCGAAGGCAGCCCCUUGGGAAUAUACUGACGCUCAUGUGCGAAAGCGUGGGGAGCAAACAGGAUUAGAUACCCUGGUAGUCCACGCUGUAAACGCUGUCGAUUUGGGGAUUGGGCUUAGAGCUUGGUGCCCGUAGCU